rnacentral:rRNA from 1 species
UUGAACGCUGGCGGCAGGCCUAACACAUGCAAGUCGAACGGUAACAGGAAACAGCUUGCUGUUUCGCUGACGAGUGGCGGACGGGUGAGUAAUGUCUGGGAAACUGCCUGAUGGAGGGGGAUAACUACUGGAAACGGUAGCUAAUACCGCAUAAUGUCGCAAGACCAAAGAGGGGGACCUUCGGGCCUCUUGCCAUCGGAUGUGCCCAGAUGGGAUUAGCUAGUAGGUGGGGUAACGGCUCACCUAGGCGACGAUCCCUAGCUGGUCUGAGAGGAUGACCAGCCACACUGGAACUGAGACACGGUCCAGACUCCUACGGGAGGCAGCAGUGGGGAAUAUUGCACAAUGGGCGCAAGCCUGAUGCAGCCAUGCCGCGUGUAUGAAGAAGGCCUUCGGGUUGUAAAGUACUUUCAGCGGGGAGGAAGGGAGUAAAGUUAAUACCUUUGCUCAUUGACGUUACCCGCAGAAGAAGCACCGGCUAACUCCGGGCCAGCAGCCGCGGUAAUACGGAGGGUGCAAGCGUUAAUCGGAAUUACUGGGCGUAAAGCGCACGCAGGCGGUUUGUUAAGUCAGAUGUGAAAUCCCCGGGCUCAACCUGGGAACUGCAUCUGAUACUGGCAAGCUUGAGUCUCGUAGAGGGGGGUAGAAUUCCAGGUGUAGCGGUGAAAUGCGUAGAGAUCUGGAGGAAUACCGGUGGCGAAGGCGGCCCCCUGGACGAAGACUGACGCUCAGGUGCGAAAGCGUGGGGAGCAAACAGGAUUAGAUACCCUGGUAGUCCACGCCGUAAACGAUGUCGACUUGGAGGUUGUGCCCUUGAGGCGUGGCUUCCGGAGCUAACGCGUUAAGUCGACCGCCUGGGGAGUACGGCCGCAAGGUUAAAACUCAAAUGAAUUGACGGGGGCCCGCACAAGCGGUGGAGCAUGUGGUUUAAUUCGAUGCAACGCGAAGAACCUUACCUGGUCUUGACAUCCACAGAACUUUCCAGAGAUGGAUUGGUGCCUUCGGGAACUGUGAGACAGGUGCUGCAUGGCUGUCGUCAGCUCGUGUUGUGAAAUGUUGGGUUAAGUCCCGCAACGAGCGCAACCCUUAUUGCCAGUUACUACGCAAGAGGACUCUGGCGAGACUGCCGUUGACAAAACGGAGGAAGGUGGGGAUGACGUCAAAUCAUCAUGCCCUUUAUGACCUGGGCUACACACGUACUACAAUGGACAUUAACAGAGGGAAGCAAAACAGCGAUGUGGAGCAAACCCCUAAAAAUGUUCUCAGUUCAGAUUGCAGGCUGCAACCCGCCUGUAUGAAGAUGGAAUUGCUAGUAAUCGCGGAUCAGAAUGCCGCGGUGAAUACGUUCCCGGGCCUUGUACACACCGCCCGUCACACCAUGGGAGUGGGUUGCAAAAGAAGUAGGUAGCUUAACCUUCGGGAGGGCGCUUACCACUUUGUGAUUCAUGACUGGGGUG